GACGAGGGGUCCUAGCGUUGUUCGGAAUCACUGGGCGUAAAGCGCACGUAGGCGGAUCUUUAAGUCAGGGGUGAAAUCCCGGAGCUCAACUCCGGAACUGCCUUUGAUACUGGAGAUCUUGAGUCCGGGAGAGGUGAGUGGAACUGCGAGUGUAGAGGUGAAAUUCGUAGAUAUUCGCAAGAACACCAGUGGCGAAGGCGGCUCACUGGCCCGGUACUGACGCUGAGGUGCGAAAGCGUGGGGAGCAAACAGG
rnacentral:rRNA from 1 species